ensembl:lncRNA
AAUUAUAGAAAAGGUAGGCUUUAGGCAAAUAUACUAAGUAAUAGCAAUUAGCCUGCGAGCACCAACUGUCUGUGUCAGUGGAUGUCCACGUGAAGUCUUUUGUUUAAUUCUUACAACCCCAUGAAGUGAGGCCAAAGUUCCAGAGCAUUAAUAUUAAUACCUCAGCUGCUCCUUUACUGUGGGCAAAGGAUAGAGUUGGGGCUUGAAUUCAGGUCUGAUGUUAGAACUCAACUCUUUUGGUAGGGAGAUACUUGUCUAGAGAUGUCAAAACCUACUUGAGGCCGGGAGUUGUAACUAAUUUUCUUGAUAUAAGCCUUCACCUCCUUGCUGAUCUCCUCAAAGCAUGUACUACCGUAAGGUGGCUCUGUGAUGUCCAUCUUGUUGACUGCCGCAGUGAGCUGCUUCACGCCCAGUGUAUAGGCCAACAGUGUGUGUUCACACGUCUGCUUGUUCUUGGAGAUGACAGCCUCACACUCUCCUACACCGCUUGCUAAAAUCAGCACAGCACAGUCUGCCUAGCCUGAGAGAGGAAGGCCCAGCUCAGACCUGGCCUGGGACACCCCCUGCCCAUCCCCACAGCAGGGCCGAGGCAACCCUGGUGGUAGCUGUAAGGUGCUUGUGAUCAUGUGUUUGAUGAAGUCACAGUGACCCAUGGCAUCAAUGAUGGUGACAUAGCAUUGCUUCGCCCCAAACUUCUACAGAAAGAUGUCGAUGGUGAUGCCACUGUUACGGUUUGGUUGUGUCCCCACCCAAAUCUCAUCUUGAACUGUAGUUCCCACAAUCCCCACCUGUGGUGGGAGGGACCCGGUGGGAGGUAAUUGAAUCAUGGGGGUGGUUCCUUCAUACUAUUCUUGUGAUAGUAAGUUCUCACAAGAUCUGAUGGUUCUUUUAAGGAGCUUCCCCCUUUGCUUGGCUUUCAUUCUCCUUCCUGCCGUCACAUGAAGAAGGACAUGUUUGCUUCCCCUCCUACCAUGAUUGUAAGUUUCCUAAAGCCUCCCCAGCCAUGCUGAACUGUGAGUCAAUUAAACCUCUUUCCUUUGUAAAUGACCCAGGUAUGUCUUCAUUAGCAGUGUGAGAAUGGACGAAUACAGCCACGUUCCCACCCUGCCUUUAGCUUGUUCAGCACCCAGAAUUAUGUGAAGGAGCCUUUGCCCAUCUGGACUAGGAGUGAGAAGAAGAACUCCAGGGAUCCUUUUUUUUUUUUUUUUUUUUUUUUUAACAGAGUCUUGCUCUGUCACCCAGGCUGGAGUACAGUGGCGUGAUCUUGGCUCACUGCAACCUCCACCUCCUGGGUUCAAGUGAUUCUCCUGGCUCAGCCCCCUGAGUAGCUGGGAUUACAGGCACAUACCACCAUGCCCAGCUAAUUUUUAUAUUUUUAGUAGAGACAUGGUUUCACCAUGUUGGUCAGGCUGGUCUCGAACUCCUGACCUCAUGAUCCACCCACCUCGACCUCCCAAAGUGCUGGGAUUACAGGCAUGAGCCACUGCACCUGGCCUACGUCUACUUCUAAAGCUUCCCAUCAACCAAGAAGAAAGUUCCCAAAUAAGUCGAGAGUCAGAAGGGACAGUAACUGGGCAGUGUGAUGGAGAAGACUUUGAAUUUUUAAAUUUAAAUUUUAAUUUUAAUUUUUAGAGACAAGGUCUUACUUUGUCAUCCAGGCUGGAGUGCAAUGGCAUAAACAUG